UUUUGCGUUAGUGUCUCUCAUCUUUUGAUCUCAGUUCCUCCAGUGAUCGUAGUAUAAAAACCCUGAGAUGAUCUGAGAGACACUCAACAUUGACUUAAAGGAGCUCAGCUUCAACAGCUCCUGUGACCUCAGGUCUUUGAAAACAACUUUGCAGACUCUUUCAGCUGCUGAGAGGAGGUCUGUUGAAGCUCGCAGGGAAUCUCAUAUUGUAAGAAGGCAGAUAAAAGAGAGACGCCAUGGAUUUUCUGAAAUUCGUGGGAGGCGUGGCACUGGGUGUGUCCGAGUGCGCGGUGGGCGUGACCAGAGCCGUGGUGGACGUUCCUCUGGGGAUAGUGAAAGGAGCGGUGUACAGCACCGUAGAGGCCGGCAGUAAAAUGAGCAGCGUGGGCUCCGCCGCUGAACUUAUUGGUGCCACUGCAGUUCUGCUGGUGUCCCCGGUGACCGGCGCUGUGAGCGGAGGAACCAAAGAGAUCGUCAAGGCGCCAGAAAAAGUUGUGCAUGGUAUUGUUAAUGGCGUGAAAAGAGUGUUUGAUGAUUGAGCAUGAAACAUAGACCUCAUCUAAAAGUGUAAGUU